rnacentral:rRNA from 1 species
GAUGAACGCUGGCGGCGUGCCUAAUACAUGCCAGUCGAGCGAACAGACGAGGAGCUUGCUCCUCUGACGUUAGCGGCGGACGGGUGAGUAACACGUGGAUAACCUACCUAUAAGACUGGGAUAACUUCGGGAAACCGGAGCUAAUACCGGAUAAUAUAUUGAACCGCAUGGUUCAAUAGUGAAAGACGGUUUUGCUGUCACUUAUAGAUGGAUCCGCGCCGCAUUAGCUAGUUGGUAAGGUAACGGCUUACCAAGGCAACGAUGCGUAGCCGACCUGAGAGGGUGAUCGGCCACACUGGAACUGGAACACGGUCCAGACUCCUACGGGAGGCAGCAGUAGGGAAUCUUCCGCAAUGGGCGAAAUCUUGACGGAGCAACGCCGCGUGAGUGAUGAAGGUCUUCGGAUCGUAAAACUCUGUUAUUAGGGAAGAACAAAUGUGUAAGUAACUAUGCACGGCUUGACGGUACCUAAUCAGAAAGCCACGGCUAACUACGUG